AUUGAACGCUGGCGGCAUGCCUUACACAUGCAAGUCGAACGGCAGCAUGAUCUAGCUUGCUAGAUUGAUGGCGAGUGGCGAACGGGUGAGUAAUACAUCGGAACGUGCCCUGUAGUGGGGGAUAACUAGUCAAAAGAUUAGCUAAUACCGCAUACGACCUGAGGGUGAAAGUGGGGGACCGCAAGGCCUCAUGCUAUAGGAGCGGCCGAUGUCUGAUUAGCUAGUUGGUGAGGUAAAGGCUCACCAAGGCGACGAUCAGUAGCUGGUCUGAGAGGACGAUCAGCCACACUGGGACGGAGACACGGCCCAGACUCCUACGGGAGGCAGCAGUGGGGAAUUUUGGACAAUGGGCGAAAGCCUGAUCCAGCAAUGCCGCGUGUGUGAAGAAGGCCUUCGGGUUGUAAAGCACUUUUGUCCGGAAAGAAAUGGCUCUGGUUAAUACCUGGGGUCGAUGACGGUACCGGAAGAAUAAGGACCGGCUAACUACGUGCCAGCAGCCGCGGUAA
rnacentral:rRNA from 1 species